rnacentral:rRNA from 1 species
UAACACAUGCAAGUCGAACGGGAAUUACUUUAUUGAAACUUCGGUCGAUUUAAUUUAAUUCUAGUGGCGGACGGGUGAGUAACGCGUGGGUAACCUGCCUUAUACAGGGGGAUAACAGUCAGAAAUGGCUGCUAAUACCGCAUAAGCGCACAGAGCUGCAUGGCUCGGUGUGAAAAACUCCGGUGGUAUAAGAUGGACCCGCGUUGGAUUAGCUAGUUGGUGGGGUAACGGCCCACCAAGGCGACGAUCCAUAGCCGGCCUGAGAGGGUGAACGGCCACAUUGGGACUGAGACACGGCCCAGACUCCUACGGGAGGCAGCAGUGGGGAAUAUUGCACAAUGGGGGAAACCCUGAUGCAGCGACGCCGCGUGAAGGAAGAAGUAUCUCGGUAUGUAAACUUCUAUCAGCAGGGAAGAUAGUGACGGUACCUGACUAAGAAGCCCCGGCUAACUACGUGCCAGCAGCCGCGGUAAUACGUANGGGGCAAGCGUUAUCCGGAUUUACUGGGUGUAAAGGGAGCGUAGACGGUGUGGCAAGUCUGAUGUGAAAGGCAUGGGCUCAGCCUGUGGACUGCAUUGGAAACUGUCAUACUUG